rnacentral:rRNA from 1 species
AUUGAACGCUGGCGGCAGGCCUAACACAUGCAAGUCGAACGAGAGGGGGACGGGUGAGAAAAGUCCGGGAAACUGACAGAUGGAGGGGGAUCACAAAGGGAAACGAUAGCUAUUAAAGCAUACCAUAAGCUGUGCCACGAUGGGAUUAGCUUGUUGUAGGGGUAACGGGUCACCAAGUCGACGAUCUCUAGAUGGGCUGAGAGGAUGAGCAUCCACACUGGAACUGAGACACGGUCCAGACUCCUACGGGCGGCAGCAGUGGGGAAUAGUGCACAAUGGGGGCAAGCCUGAUGCAGCCAUGCCGCGUGUAUGAAGAAGGCCUUCGGGUUGUAAAGUACUUUCAGCGGGGAGGCGUUACCCGCAGAAGAAGCACCGGCUAACUCCGUGCCAGCAGCCGCGGUAAUUC